GGCUAACAAAGUAUCCCUCAUUUUUUUUCCUCCCAUAAAGUUAGGAUUCACACGAGAACGGUUUUUGGUAUCUUCUUGCUCCCAAAGAAUUCGGGUUCGCGCAUCAGUUUGAUGAAGCUUCAACAGAACUUCACGGAUGAGAAAAGGAGCUUCGUUAGGUACUGAUUUUGACAAUUUUCCCUUGAAGUAGAACAAUAAUGGACAUUUUAGAUAAACUCUGAGCCGCCGUCGAUCAACUUUUGAAUUGGAGAAUUCAGAAUGAACCGUCAAACACAUACGUUUCAUAAGAUCGGCACUGUGUCAAUAUUACACCGUCCAUUUCCUAAAUCUUCAGUCGAAUUGAUUAAGAAGGCGCUCAUAUUAGCGAUGACUAGUCUCCAACCUCAACAAAUUUAACCUCAACAAAUUUGCUCUCAUCGUUGUCAUCAAUGAAUCUUCUCAAAAGUCAAUUUAGCACCUGAAACUAAGUUUAAUUCUCAAAAGUACAUACAAAGAUCCUUGGAGGAUGAUUUCAAGGUUAUUGUGGGUAUCAAGUACGUGUCUUUCGACUAAAACUGAAAUAAAUUACACAAUUCUUCUAAGCUUUUGAUCAUGUUCUACAUUGUACGAGCUAGAGGUAUCUAAUUAUUUAUGGUCGUUGUUAUACAUUUGUAGUUCAUUGCUAUGGUUUUCUGCAGUUGUUUAUCUUUUGUUGAAUGUUCACGGUAACGUUAACGACCUUGGUUAUUUCUUUUCAAGUCAUAUUAGCUCUAAUUGUAAAAAAAAAACUAGCUCUAACUACCAAUACAAAUAUUGUCCUUUCAGGAUGGCAGGCUAUGUUUUGGCUAUCUAUACUUCCUCUAGUUUUAAGAAUUUCAUUUACAUGUUUUCCAUUUCAUUCAUUCCGUGAAAAUUUUGAAGAAAGAACUAACCACUGGAUUGAUUAAAGAUAAUCUUAGCAGUUGCACAAAACAUCACACAAUUGUAGCUCUAAUGACUAUUGAAAUUCAAGAAAGACAUGAUGUAGUCCAAGGAAUACCUCUUGUUCAAAUUUCAGAACAUGAUAACAUGCUAAACUUGCUGCUACAUUGGAUCACGUUGUUGUGGCAGCCGAACAUUGCCCCUAACAUACAAAGAGAUGAACCUCUUAUUGAACCUGAGACAAUAGUCGUCAUUUUCAAGGCACUAAAGGUUUGGCACGGUUAAUCCUCAGUUUCCUUAUUUGCUACACCUUGGAAUUAAGGUAUUGGAUUGAAGGUCCUUGAGAAUGGAUACAAGAUGAAGGUCCUAGUAAUAGCUAUGAGUGGUGAUCACUCAUGCCAUAUCUUGCAGCUUGUGGAUACCGUAGACUAGUGUGCCUGUAUUCAAAGGAUGUACGGAAGGUAAAAGCUCAGUUUAUGAUUUGCAGCGUGCGUGGUUGGCCUACAAGUUCCGGUCAUUGAGUUCCUAGGAGGCCGAUUGAAGAAGACUUGGACUCUUUUCUACAAGUGUUGGUAGGUCCUCAUGUUCGGGGGUUUUAACUUUUUCCACAUUCUAGCUUUGAAGUUGUAUUGUCAUAAAGACAUUGUUCAUUCUGUUAUUAAUUGAAACAUUGAUGUAAGCCUAUAAUGGCAUAUUGACUUUGUAUUUUGCUAUGUCCAAUAAUUCUACUCAUUUAGAUGUUUUAUGUGAGACGAUAUUAGUAGACUAUUUCCUAUGUAUUGGUUUAUGUUUUCCGAUGAGAAGCCGUUGUAAGUUUCCUG